GUAGUUAUAGUUUAAUAAAAACAUUAGAUUGUGAAUCUAAUAAUAGAAGCUUACAACUUCUUGACCACC
rnacentral:tRNA from 1 species